CCUUCUGCCUGUCAGAGAGAGCAGAGCACCUGGUCAAGCCCUGAAGGAAGUACUUAAUAAAUAUUGGGGCAGGGUCGGCCCCUUUCCAUUAUUAAUCCACAGAUUAAUCUGUCAACGAAGGUAACACCCUCUUGAACCAAUCCCCCCCCAAGAACCUCUCUGGACUUGAUGGGCUCACCUCCUGUGUGCCACUUCCCAUGACUGAGCUCACCUCCUGUGACUGCUGCACCCUGGCUUUGCAUCCCAGGCCACAGCUUCAAGACAUGAACUUCCUGGAAACAUUUCCUAUGCGAAUCAUCUGAGUGCUUUUAGACGUAGAAUUUAAUUUCAGGGGACUGCAGAAGCCAGUGCCCCUGGAGACUAGAAGUGUCCGUGCCCUGGGACUGUUGUGAGCUGUCUGACAAGGGACUAGAACUCUGGUCCUUUGUAAAAGCAGUAAGUCCACUUAACUACCAAGCCAUCUUGUCAGACUCCAGUGGAAUCUUUCUGAUGUUGUGUAUGACUACUGUCUGUCCAGGAAACUGAUACCAAGCCAAGAGAGGGGUAAGAGCUCUGGGGUUCUGUAAUACAGUGGGGUAACAUCUCACAGCAGCUGGAUAGAAGAGUCUAAAGGUGCCUCACGUUGAGAUGACGGCUGUGGGAGGGGCUAUAUGUGCUAAUUACCCUGGUUUGAUCAUUUCCCAAGGUGGAUACACAUCAGAGUGUCAUUCUGCACUCCAUAAAUGUGGCCGGUCAAGAAAUAAAACCUUUUUAAAUCUUA